UGGCCCCCUUGAUUUAAGGGUGUGAAAAGCUGGUGUGUGGCCUGGCUAAUUGAUCACCCCUGCAAGGUGAUUAAGCGGUUGUUGAUUCAUCGGGCAGCGGGGUUAGGGAAUAGAAUUCAUGGUAGUAGAAGGGCUAAGGCAAUUAAGGGGAUACCUAGGAGUACUGGGCUUAUGAAUUGGUCAAAGAAAUUUAGUAUCAUGGUCAGUUUCAGGGGUUAAAUUUAGGUUUUUCAGCGCUUUGUGGGGCGGGCUCAUUCAUAAAGGAGUGGUUGAGCACUUUAGGUGGGAUUACAAAUAGGAAUACGAAUCAGGAGAAUACCAGGAUGGAAAGCCAAGGGGCGGGGUUGAGUUGGGGCAUGUCACUAAGGGUGAUAGGGAGUCACCAAUUUUCAGCUUAAAAGGCUGAUGCUGCACCCAAUUUAGCUUCUUAAUGAUGCGUCUUGAAGUAGUAGGGUGGAUCACUCUUCGAAGUGUUUUAGGGGAACGGCUUCAACCACGAUAGGUAUAAAGCUAUGAUUUGCUCCACAAAUUUCAGAGCAUUGGCCAUAAAAUAAACCAGGGCGAGAGGUAAUAAAAGCUGUUUGAUUUAAUCGUCCGGGUACCGCAUCUAUCUUAAUUCCUAAAGAGGGGACAGCUCAGGAGUGAAGGACAUCUUCGGCAGACACUAGGAUUCGGGUUGGGGAUUCAACAGGAACCACUAUUCGAUGGUCUGUUUCUAAGAGACGAAAUUGUCCCGGAAGGAGGUCUUGUGUGGGAACUAUAUAAGAAUCGAAGGCCAAUUCUUCAUAGUCAGUAUAUUCAUAGCUUCAAUACCACUGGUGGCCAACUGCUUUAAUGGUUAGAUGGGGGUCAUUGACUUCAUCUAUAAGAUAAAGAAUUCGAAGAGAGGGCAGGGCAAUCAGAAUAAGAAUUACUGCUGGGAGAAUUGUUCAUACAAUUUCAAUUUCUUGGGAAUCAAGAAUAUACUUGUUUGUAAGUUUAGUAGAUACUAUUGCUACAAUAAUAUAAAGCACUAGUGUGCUAAUUAAUAGAACAAUUAUUAGGGCGUGAUCAUGGAAGUGGAGGAGCUCUUCUAUUACAGGUGAGGCUGCAUCUUGGAAACCUAGUUGCGAGGGGUGUGCCAUAAUAUUGAAACACGCGGGGUUUUAACCCGCAUCUAUGCCUUGACAAGGCAGUGUAUUUUACCAGUUCUACUAGUGUCUCAUUGAAAGAAAGUGGCAGAGUGGUUAUGCGGUUGGCUUGAAACCAUCACAUGGGGGUUCAAUUCCUUCCUUUCUCGUUAAUUUGUUUGUACUUGAACAAAUGCUGGCUCUUCAAAUGUGUGGUGGGGUGGGGGGCACCCAUGGAGUCACUCCACGUUAGUUGAAGUUAUUUCAACUGAUAUAACCUCUCGUUUAGCGGUAAAUGCUUCCCAAAGGAUGAAAAGAAACAUAAUAACUGCUACUAAGGAGAUAAGGGAGCCGAUUGAAGAAAUAGUGUUUCAAAGGGUGUAGGCAUCAGGAUAGUCAGAGUAUCGUCGUGGUAUACCCGCCAGGCCUAAGAAGUGUUGAGGGAAGAAAGUUAGGUUAACUCCUACAAAUAUAAUCCCAAAGUGGAUUUUAGUUCAAGUGGUAUGUAUAGUGUAGCCGGAGAACAAGGGGAAUCAGUGAACAAAUGCUCCCAUAAUAGCGAAGACAGCUCCCAUAGAGAGGACGUAGUGGAAGUGUGCUACUACAUAAUAAGUGUCAUGGAGAACAAUAUCAAGAGAAGAGUUAGCAAGAACAAUGCCUGUGAGUCCUCCCACUGUAAAAAGGAAAAUAAAGCCAAGGGCUCAAAGAAGGGGGGUUUCUCAUUUAAUUGAGCCGCCAUGUAGAGUGGCUAAUCAGCUGAAAACUUUAACUCCUGUUGGGAUGGCAAUAAUUAUUGUGGCGGAGGUGAAGUAGGCGCGAGUGUCUACAUCUAUUCCCACAGUAAACAUAUGGUGGGCUCAGACAAUAAAGCCAAGGAGACCAAUGGCCAUUAUUGCUCAUACUAUGCCUAUGUAGCCGAAUGGUUCUUUUUUACCAGAAUAAUAAGCUACAAUGUGAGAGAUUAUACCAAAUCCUGGUAGAAUAAGAAUGUAGACUUCCGGGUGUCCGAAGAAUCAGAAGAGGUGUUGGUAUAGAAUAGGGUCUCCACCACCAGCGGGGUCAAAGAAUGUGGUGUUUAAAUUUCGGUCUGUGAGCAAUAUGGUAAUUCCAGCGGCUAGGACUGGGAGAGAUAGAAGUAGAAGUACAGCUGUAAUCAGGACUGCUCAAACAAAUAAUGGUGUCUGAUAUUGUGAGAUGGCGGGGGGUUUUAUGUUAAUAAUUGUGGUAAUAAAAUUAAUAGCUCCUAGAAUAGAAGAAAUUCCGGCCAGGUGGAGAGAGAAAAUAGUUAAGUCUACAGAAGCACCUGCGUGUGCUAAGUUUCCGGCCAAAGGCGGAUAAACUGUUCAGCCAGUACCAGCACCAGCUUCAACACCUGAGGAGGCUAAGAGAAGUAAAAAGGAGGGGGGGAGAAGUCAGAAGCUUAUAUUAUUUAUGCGGGGGAAGGCCAUGUCGGGGGCACCAAUCAUUAGGGGAAUUAAUCAGUUUCCAAAACCCCCAAUUAUAACGGGUAUAACUAUAAAAAAGAUUAUAACAAAGGCAUGGGCUGUAACGAUAACAUUAUAAAUCUGGUCGUCACCUAAGAGAGCCCCUGGCUGGCUUAGUUCGGCCCGGAUUAAAAGGCUUAAGGCUGUGCCGACUAUUCCGGCUCAAGCACCAAAUACUAAAUAAAGGGUGCCAAUAUCUUUGUGGUUAGUAGAGAAAAAUCAGCGUGUGAUUGCCACAGGUAGGAUGGCUGAGAGUUUUAGCGGUGGGUUGUAGCCCCAUGUACAGGGGUUUAAGUCCCCUUCCUAUCAAGCCCUGUGGUGUACAACAUAUUAGGUUGCAAACCUAAGGAUGCAGGCUAACGACCUGCCGGGGCUUUCCCCCGCUGGCCCCUCAGCGCGGGGGAAAGUAGGCGGAUGCUCGUUGGAUUGGGCGCUUAGCUGUUAACUAAGAGUUUGUAGGUUCGAGGCCUUCCCGUCUAG
rnacentral:tRNA from 1 species